GUGAGAGGCUUUGUGGCCAGCCUGCUCCUCACAUCCACCUCAGCAGGAGAUUCUUGUCGGGAGAGACUGAUGGAGGAGGAGGAGGAAAUUCCUGUGGUAUUUCAGAGUGUUCCAAACCAUGAACGAGGCAGCAGGGAGAGCUGCAGGUGAUUGCAGCAGGAGCACCCAGAGCCUGCAUUUUGUGAUCUGCAGCAUCCAUCCCCAGUGCCCAGAGCAAUCCCCAGCGACCACUCCCAGGAAAGUCUGGAUUUGUCACCUUUUCAGAGUGGUGAAGGAGUUUUGUUGUCAUCUGGUGUUGUUAUUUUCUUUGGUGCUGGGAGUGCUUUGUUUGUGAAAUAAACAGGUUCUU